CUUUUAAAGGGUAGUAGUUAUCCAUUGGUCUUAGGAACCAAAAACAU
rnacentral:tRNA from 1 species